rnacentral:rRNA from 1 species
AUUGAACGCUGGCGGAAUGCUUUACACAUGCAAGUCGAACGGCAGCACGGGGCAACCUGGUGGCGAGUGGCGAACGGGUGAGUAAUACAUCGGAACGUGCCCAAUCGUGGGGGGAUAACGUAGCGAAAGUUACGCUAAUACCGCAUACGAUCUACGGAUGAAAGCGGGGGAUCGCAAGACCUCGCGCGAAUGGAGCGGCCGAUGUCAGAUUAGGUAGUUGGUGGGGUAAAGGCUCACCAAGCCGACGAUCUGUAGCUGGUCUGAGAGGACGACCAGCCACACUGGGACUGAGACACGGCCCAGACUCCUACGGGAGGCAGCAGUGGGGAAUUUUGGACAAUGGGCGCAAGCCUGAUCCAGCCAUUCCGCGUGCAGGAUGAAGGCCUCGGUUGUAAACUGCUUUUGUACGGUAACGAAACGGUGAGUUCUAAUACAGUUUGCUAAUGACGGUACCGUAAGAAUAAGACA